rnacentral:rRNA from 1 species
UACGGGGGGGAGCAAGCGUUGUUCGGAUUUACUGGGCGUAAAGGGCGCGUAGGCGGCCUACUAAGUCAGACGUGAAAUCCCCCGGCUUAACCUGGGAACUGCGUCUGAUACUGGAAGGCUUGAGGAUGGGAGAGGGAUGUAGAAUUCCAGGUGUAGCGGUGAAAUGCGCAGAUAUCAGGAGGAACACCGAUGGCGAAGGCAGGUCUCUGGGCAUUAACUGACGCUGAGGAGCGAAAGCAUGGGGAGCGAACAGG